UACGGGGGGAGCAAGCGUUGUCCGGAAUUAUUGGGCGUAAAGAGCUCGUAGGCGGUUCGUCACGUCGGGAGUGAAAACUCGGGGCUAACCCCGAGCCUGCUUCCGAUACGGGCAGACUAGAGGUAGGCAGGGGGAGAGCGGAACUCCUGGUGUAGCGGGUGGAAUGCGCAGAUAUCAGGAGGAACACCAAUGGCGAAAGGCAGCACUCUGGGGACGUGACUGACGCUGAGACGCGAAAAAGCGUGGGGGGAGCAAAAACAGGAUUAGAAAACCCCCCAGUAGCCAGACC
rnacentral:rRNA from 1 species